rnacentral:rRNA from 1 species
UACGUAGGCAGCGAGCGUUGUUCGGAGUUACUGGGCGUAAAGGGUGCGUAGGCGGUUGUUUAAGUUUGGUGUGAAAUCUCCCGGCUCAACUGGGAGGGUGCGCCGAAUACUGAAUGACUAGAGUGCGGGAGAGGAGAGUGGAAUUCCAGGUGUAGCGGUGAAAUGCGUAGAUAUCUGGAAGAACACCAGUGGCGAAGGCGGCUCACUGGCUCGUAACUGACGCUCAUGCACGACAGCGUGGGGAUCAAACAGG